rnacentral:rRNA from 1 species
UGGGGAAUAUUGCGCAAUGGGCGAAAGCCUGACGCAGCGACGCCGCGUGAGGGAUGAAGGUUUUCGGAUCGUAAACCUCUGUCAGAAGGGAAGAAACUACGUUGUGCUAAUCAGCAGCGUACUGACGGUACCUUCAAAGGAAGCACCGGCUAACUCCGUGCCAGCAGCCGCGGUAAUACGGAGGGUGCAAGCGUUAAUCGGAAUUACUGGGCGUAAAGCGCACGUAGGCUGUAGUGUAAGUCAGGGGUGAAAUCCCACGGCUCAACCGUGGAACUGCCUUUGAUACUGCACAACUUGAAUACGGGAGAGGGUGGCAGAAUUCCAGGUGUAGGAGUGAAAUCCAUAGAUAUCUGGAGGAACAUCAGUGGCGAAGGCGGCCACCUGGACCGGUAUUGACGCUGAGGUGCGAAAGCGUGGGGAGCAAACAG